GACGACCGCUGGCGGCGUGCUUAACACAUGCCAGUCGAACGGAAAUGCCCCUUUGGGGGUACCCGAGAGGCGAACGGGUGAGUAACACGUGAGUAACCUGCCCUCGACUUCGGGUUAAAUCCAGGCAACUGGGGCUCAUACCGGAUAGGCAUACUCGCUGCAUGGGGGGGGUUGGAAAGCUUCGGCGGUUUUGGAUGGACUCGCGGCAUAUCAGCUUGUUGGUGGGGUAGUGGCUUACCAAGGCUUUGACGGGUAGCCGGCCUGAGAGGGAGACCGGCCACAGUGGGACUGAAGUACGGCCCAGUGGCCGACGGUGGGCAGCAGUGGUGAAUGUUGCACUAUGGGCGGAAGCCGGAUGCAGCAACGCCGCGUGCGGGAUGACGGACUUCGGGUUGAGAUCCGUGUUCAGCAGGCGCGAAGCUUGUGGUGACGGUACCUGCAGAAGAAGCACCGGCUAACUACGUG
rnacentral:rRNA from 1 species